GGCCACAUCACGUUGAAACACCGGUUCCCGUACGAUCACCGAAGUUAAGCAACGUCGAGCAUGGUCAUUACCUAGAUGGAUGACUUUUUGGGAAUACCAGGUGCUGUAAG